rnacentral:sRNA from 1 species
AAGGCAAUUAGGUCGGCGAAUCACCGGUCCAUUUAGGGCGCCGGGUCGCAUUCGAG